GAUGAACGCGGGCGGCGUGCCUAACACAUGCAAGUCGAACGGAGAUUACAGACGGAAGUUUUCGGAUGGAAGUUUGUAAUUCUUAGUGGCGGACGGGUGAGUAACGCGUGGGCAACCUGCCCUAUACAGGGGGAUAGCAGCUGGAAACGGCUGGUAAGACCGCAUAAGUCGGUUAAAUCGCAUGAUUUGAUCGGGAAAUGAGCAAUCAGGUAUAGGAUGGGCCCGCGUCCGAUUAGCCAGUUGGCAGGGUAAAAGCCUACCAAAGCGACGAUCGGUAGCCGGACUGAGAGGUCGGACGGCCACAUUGGGGCUGAGACACGGCCCAAACUCCUACGGGAGGCAGCAGUGGGGGAUAUUGCACAAUGGAGGAAACUCUGAUGCAGCGACGCCGCGUGAGUGAAGAAGUAUUUCGGUAUGUAAAGCUCUAUCAGCAGGGAAGA
rnacentral:rRNA from 1 species